rfam:Raoultella ornithinolytica strain S12, complete genome.
CUUCUGCAUCCUCGCGACUAAUGACAACCUUUACCCGCCCCUGCGGAUGAAGCCUCUCAUUAGCCGCGCGAACCUCUGCACGAAGAUCAUUAAUAGCAACAAUACAUGAGUUUUUAGCUAAUUGCUGCCGCCUGGUCGAAAAAAGGGGCCCUGAGGCCCCUUUUU